CCUACGGGACGCUGCAGUGGGGAAUAUUGCACAAUGGGCGCAAGCCUGGUGCAGCCAUGCCGCGUGUGUGAAGAAGGCCUUCGGGUUGUAAAGCACUUUCAGCGGGGAGGAAGGCGUUAAGGUUAAUAACCUUGUCGAUUGACGUUACCCGCAGAAGAAGCACCGGCUAACUCCGUGCCAGCAGCCGCGGUAAUACGGAGGGUGCAAGCGUUAAUCGGAAUUACUGGGCGUAAAGCGCACGCAGGCGGUCUGUCAAGUCGGAUGUGAAAUCCCCGGGCUCAACCUGGGAACUGCAUUCGAAACUGGCAGGCUAGAGUCUUGUAGAGGGGGGUAGAAUUCCAGGUGUACCGGUGAAAUGCGUAGAGAUCUGGAGGAAUACCGGUGGCGAAGGCGGCCCCCUGGACAAAGACUGACGCUCAGGUGCGAAAGCGUGGGGAGCAAACAGGAUUAGAUACCCGAGUAGUC
rnacentral:rRNA from 1 species